rnacentral:lncRNA from 1 species
ACAAGAAGUAAAAUUUAUUGUCAUGAUGAAUUUUUCCUGUUUUUGUUGUUGUUGUUGUUGUUGUUGUUUUUAACUAUUUUUAAAACGUAGCUGCCCCUGUAAUCCCAGCACUUUGGGAGGCUGAAGUGUGUGGAUCAUGAGGUCAGGAGAUCGAGACCAUCCUGACUAACACAGUGAAACCCUGUCUCUAUUAAAAAUACCAAAAAUUAGCUGGGCAUGGUGGCACACACCUGUAGUCCCAGCUAGUCGGGAGGCUGAGGCAGGAGAAUCGCUUGAACCCAGGAGGUGGAGGUUGCAGUGAGCUGAGAUCACACCACUGUACUCCAGCCUGGAUGACAGAGUGAGACUCUUUCUCAAAAAAAAAAAAAAAAAAAAAAGUAGCUACUAGAAAAAUUUAAAUUAUAUAUAUGGCUCACAUUAUCUUUCUAUUACUUUCUUUGCUUACUAAGUUUAUUUCACUUCCAUUAUGAGUACUUGUGAAAGUUACUAACAAUGUAUUAGAUUGCUAAUACAUUCAAAUUCUAAUGUAAAAUGAAUGCGAUACACUGAAAGGUAUAGA